UGGAAAUUACACGGCAUUGUUGGAGAUAUUUUUACCAAAUUAAGCAGCUCUUAUCAUAUCGAUGUCUUACGAAUCUAUUCCAAUUACGUCAACAACUUUCCUAGGGCAAUAGGCGUGAUAAACAAAAGUUCAAGGGGAUCACAUAAAUUUAGGAAAUUCUUACAGAGCUGCUCCUCAAAUUCAGAAUGCGAGGGACUAGAUCUACCUGCUUUUCUCCUUACUCCAAUACAACGACCUCCUCGAUACGUCCUUCUU